UUUCAGAUUCUGCAGCCCUUCCUUACGACUGUCCCCAGUGAAUUCAGUAGUACUAGUCAUUUCAACAAGGUGCUCAGUGAAUGCUACCGCCAUGUGGCUCAAUGAAGCAAAUAAGUCUCCUUAAGAAGUGUGAUACAUGAAGGGAGGUGUCACAAGAAGCAUUAACUAAAAAUGUUUUUUCUUUCAUGUCUGCAAGCAACCAAAUUACUUCAGUUUAGUUUCUACUUAAUGUGAGUAUUGAUCAGGUUGGUGCAGAAUACUCAUGGAUAGGAGCAAGGAACUGUCUGUGGCAAGAUAAGGAUCUGGCUCGGUGUGAAGGAAUUAAUAGUUAAACUGCUGUUCAGCCUUGAGGAUUGGGAGCCCUCCCUGGAUGAGUUGGACUGGAGGCUUUCAGUGCCCAUGCCCUGGCACAGGGCCAUGGAUCUCCUCCCCUGGCAUCGGGUCAGACAA